rnacentral:rRNA from 1 species
CCAGUUCGGAUUGCAGCCUGCAACUCGGCUGCAUGAAGCUGGAAUCGCUAGUAAUCGCGGAUCAGAAUGCCGCGGUGAAUACGUUCCCGGGUCUUGUACACACCGCCCGUCACACCAUGGGAGUCGGAAAUGCCCGAAGCCGGUGGCCUAACCGAUAAGGGAGGAGCCGUCGAAGGCAGGUCUGAUGACUGGGGUGAAGUCGUAACAAGGUACC